rnacentral:rRNA from 1 species
UACGGGGGGGGCAAGCGUUGUUCGGAAUUACUGGGCGUAAAGGGCUCGUAGGCGGCCAACUAAGUCGGACGUGAAAUCCCCAGGCUCAACCUGGGAACUGCGUCCGAUACUGGAUGGCUUGAAUCCGGGAGAGGGAUGCGGAAUUCCAGGUGUAGCGGUGAAAUGCGUAGAUAUCUGGAGGAACACCGAUGGCGAAGGCAGCUCGCUGGGACGGUACUGACGCUGAGGCGCGAAAGCGUGGGGAGCGAACAGG